rnacentral:tRNA from 1 species
GGGAGCGUGUGCCAGGCUGGUGCCGGCCCCGGCCUUCAAAGCCGGUGGGGUGCGCUGAGAGGCGAUGCCCGGUGAAUUCGAUUUUCAUACGCUCCCGCCA